UACGUAGGGUGCAAGCGUUGUCCGGAAUUAUUGGGCGUAAAGAGCUCGUAGGCGGUCUGUCGCGUCGGCUGUGAAAACCCGGGGCUCAACCCCGGGCCUGCAGUCGAUACGGGCAGACUAGAGUGCGGUAGGGGAGACUGGAAUUCCUGGUGUAGCGGUGAAAUGCGCAGAUAUCAGGAGAAACACCGGUGGCGAAGGCGGGUCUCUGGGCCGUAACUGACGCUGAGGAGCGAAAGCGUGGGGAGCGAACAGG
rnacentral:rRNA from 1 species